UUCUCCCAGACGAAAUCAGAGUCUCCCGCGACCCGGAAAACAGAGGAGACAGACGCCGAGGAGAAUGUGUCGGCCGGAGUUGUGAAGGAGAGUAUAUUAGCCACGCAUGCUUCUGACGAAAGCGGUGACCGAUUAAUCAUACUACUAGAUAUUGAUCCGCGCUAAUAUGCACCAAAUAAAAUUGUUUAUUAAAUUAUUUAUUACAUGUUGUAUUAAGGGAUUUGUUGUAUAAUUUUCUUUUAGGGAUCAUAUAUCUGUUCGGAUUCAAUUGAUUUAUUUAUAUUUUUUGGACUUUUA